rnacentral:rRNA from 1 species
GACGAACGCUGGCGGCGCGCCUAACACAUGCAAGUCGAACGGAGCUGAGAGAAGCUUGCUUUUCUUAGCUUAGUGGCGAACGGGUGAGUAACGCGUGAGUAACCUGCCCUGGAGUGGGGGACAACAGUUGGAAACGACUGCUAAAACCGCAUAAGCCCACGAUCCGGCAUCGGAUUGAGGGAAAAGGAUUUAUUCGCUUCAGGAUGGACUCGCGUCCAAUUAGCUAGUUGGUGAGGUAACGGCCCACCAAGGCGACGAUUGGUAGCCGGACUGAGAGGUUGAACGGCCACAUUGGGACUGAGACACGGCCCAGACUCCUACGGGAGGCAGCAGUGGGGGAUAUUGCACAAUGGGGGAAACCCUGAUGCAGCGACGCCGCGUGGAGGAAGAAGGUUUUCGGAUUGUAAACUCCUGUCGUGAGGGACGAUAAUGACGGUACCUAACAAGAAAGCACCGGCUAACUACGUG